rnacentral:rRNA from 1 species
UGAUUUAAAGUCUAACCUGCCCAUUGAUUUAUUAAAAGGCCGCGGUAUUUUGACCGUGCGAAGGUAGCAUAAUAAUUAGUUUUUUAAUUGAAAGCUAGAAUGAAUGGUUGAACGAGAAAAAUACUGUCUCUAUUUAAAUUCAUUAGAAUUUUAUAUUUAAGUAAAAAAGCUUAAAUUAUUUUUAAAGACGAGAAGACCCUAUAGAGUUUAAUAGUUUAUUAAUUAUUAAAUUUUUAUUAUUUUAAGUUUUAUCAUUAAUUAAUUAUUUUAUUGGGGUGAUGGAAAAAUUUAUAAAACUUUUUUUGUUUAUAGACAUUAAUUUAUGAAUAAUUGAUCCAUUAAUUAUGAUUAUAAGAUUAAAUUACCUUAGGGAUAACAGCGUAAUUUCUUUAAAGAGUUCUAAUCGAAAAAGAAGUUUGCGACCUCGAUGUUGGAUUAAAAUUAAUUUUUGGUGUAGAAGCUAAAAUAUUAGGUCUGUUCGACCUUUAAAAUUUUACAUGAUCUGAGUUUAAACCGGUGUGAGCCAGGUUGGUUUCUAUCUUAAAAAAAGAAUAAUAUUUUAGUACGAAAGGAUCAAAUAUUUAUAAAAUUUAUUUUUAUUGAAUAAAUUU